GCUUUAAAAAAUUUAGUUUAGUAAUCAAACGCAAAUUCAAUAAGACAAAUAUAUAAUAAGCAACAUAUAUAUGUGAUGAUUUUAAUUUACAGCAUGAAAACUAUAAAAUUAUUAUAUUUGGCAUAAUUAUACAAACAUUUAAAUAUGUGAGUAACAUUAAAAAUAUAUAAUAAUUAUGUAAAACAAAUAUCUAUAUAUAUAAAUGUGAAAAUAUAUAUCCGCACGGUUGUGCAGGUGGAAAUCUAGUAACACGCUUAAGCUUGCUAGCUACGACGAACAAUCAGUUCAUAUCAUAUAGGUACCAAGUCAUCCAUGUCUUCCCCUAUCGUUAUUAGUUUCUUGUUCCUGUUAAAGUAUCUUUUUUUUUUGUCUGGUUAAUUAUGAUACUACAAAUUAUGAGAAACAAUACAUAAACGAUAUUACAGCCGACAAUUCUACCUGUCUUAUGAGGAUUCAUGCCUGACUGCAUCAGUCUGAAUAGUCUUAUGAGGUCUAUUCCUAAUGGUACUCCUUGCGCCAUGCUGAAGAUCUCUUGUAAGCGUUUUUUCUAAUUUUUAUGUAUAAUUCGCCUUCUCCGGGAAUUGAAAUUCAUACAUCUUCCUGUAAAAAUUGUGUUGUCUGGGAUUCUAAUCUCAGACCUGGAUGUAGAAGCCUUUAAACUUUGACCACUAGGCUAAGGUGCUUCCACGUAAAAGUAUCAUUAUUUUAAGCUAGUAGGUUUUAAAUACUUUAUUCGGUAAGUUGAUUUAUUUUGAUUCCGUGUGUGACUGUCUUAGUUUGUGAUUAAUUUUGAUGAGCACAUUUCUUAACCGAUCACAUAUAUAGAAAACUAUUCUUGCGACAAAAUGUCAAAGUAUCUUAUAUAAUCCAGAGGAGUUAGCAGUUGCGUUUGUAUGGUUCUGACUUUCUAGGAAAAGAUCAUUAAUAUAGAUUUGUUUACUAAAUUAUUCAUGUGUCAGUAGUGUUGUUGGUCAUCGUAAUUCUCUUGGUAUUUUCAGGAAUCUUUCAAACUCAAUGAAUACUAAUUUGAAUAUGGAUUCUGCUGGGACAUCAGACAGAACAGUUUUAAAGAGAAAUUCAAAAGAUAUUGCUUGGGAUUAUGGAAUUUUGGAAUCCGAAGAACGUUGACAAAAUUAAAUGCAAAUUGUGUGGGAAAGAAUUUUCAGGAGGUGCUUAUAGGAUCAAAGAACACAUUGCUAAUAUUCCUGGAAAUGUUUCUGCUUGUCCAAAGUCUUCAAAAGAUGAUAAAGAAAAAUGCAAAAAUGCUAUUGAGGAAGCAAAUAAAAAGAAAGAGAAGAAGGUGACGUUAAAUGAUGAGUUACAACUAACAGCUAAUGUUCAUGGUAGUGGAGAUUUGGAAGAUGAGUUUUUGAAACAUUAUAAUAGGAAUCUUAAAAUUUUCUAGUUUGUUAGGGAAAUUUAUCUCAGUUCAUUUUCUCUCUAGGGUUUCAAUUUUGUUUUGUUGUUUUCUCUAUUUCACAACAUCAUUGCCGAGAGAGAAAAUGAACUGAGAUCAAUUUCAUCCACAUAUAACAGGCAUACAUUUACAUACGGUUUUGAGGGAAAGAUAUACUGUCAUCAAAAAAAAGUCAUCAUAAAAAUAAUAUCGAUUGAUAUAGGUUAUCCACAGUAACCAUGGUUUACACGCAAUACAUGUAUAUAUAUGAACACCAAAUGUUAUCCCCAAAACACUAACAAGUCCAUGGAUACUAAGAAGUCAUCCAUAUUUAUAUAUCCACCAAACUAUGUACACAAAUAUCAAAAUACAUCGUACAUAAAUUUAAUUAAGAUUUUUUUAAUUAUGAAAAUACAAAUGUACAUAUGGAUAUCAAAAUAUCAAGAAAAAAGUUGAUAUAUUUUAUAUAUUUAUUUUAUAAAGUGGAAUAAAUAAUAGUGGCAAAAAUAUUAUGUUAGGAAAAUUAAAAAAAAAAUGUGUAAAAAAUAUUAUUUUGUGAGAAAGAGAGAUAAAGUAUAUAAUUUUAUAGUAUAUUUUUCUUUCAUAAGAUAGUAUUUUAUUUGGCACAACUAUUAUUUAGCCAACAAUUAUUUUUAUUAAUUUAAAUUUGUAGCUUUUUAGUUACUUUCUAUUUAUUUUUUAACUAAUUAGUUAACUCAUGAUUAUCCAACAAGGGCAUUUCUGUCUCAAAAAUUUUCAAAACACAUACAAAAUGCUCCUCCAUCAGAAUGUGUCUAUUUAUGUAAAGUGAAGAAACAAUGUGUCCUAAAGUAUCAAGACACAAUGGUUUACUAUGAGUGGACGGACCCGAAAUUUGAACCCAAAUCUAAUCCAAAAAAUCUGAGAUCAAAUCCAAUCCUAUAUAGAAAAUUACUCAAACAACUAUUGAGUUAGAAAAAUUGGAUAUCCGAAUCCAAAAUCAUUUGAUAACCAGAGUCAUUAUUUGAUAAAUGAUCACUAUGAGUCAGACUCAAUAGAAUUUGAUCAAUCAUUUUUUCUGUUCUUAAGGUGGAGAAUUGGGCCAAGGAUUCUCUUUCUUUAUCAUCAAUCGAAUCACUAUUCGCGACCCAUGAUUCGAUUUUAUCAUCAAUCCAAUCACCGCUCACUUUUUUUAUUUUUCUUAGCAAUGAAUAGACUUAGAUGUCUCGUAUUUGGUAUGAUACUUAUGAGAUGAUGAUAUCGAUGAAGUUUAUUUUCAAAUAUUUCUUCUUAGAACUUAUUGAUUUUACCCCAUAAGCGGGAUCACCACUCCAUAGCAUGUUACCGCCAGAACCAUUUAUUUCUUCUAGACAAUCUCCUAAUUGUUCCAGAACAACUAGAAAAAGAUUCUUUAACCAGAAAGAAUUCUGUUCAGAUGUAGGAUACCUAUCUAUAAGUUUUUGCAACUCAAUCAUGUAUGAUGGAAUCAUCAAAGAUUUGUUCUUUUCGAAUUUUGUAUGUAACUCACUAUAGGCUCAGAAAACAAAGAGAAGAUGUGUACGAACGAUAUAUCCAGCAACAAAAAGAAGGAAAAUGAUUGAAUAGAGGACCUCACGAACUUUUGGCGAUCUCAGAUAUGUCGAUAUCAAUGAUGACUAAUUAUUUGGAUGAAUCAUUUUUUCGGACAAAAAAAAGAUUAUAUAAAGACUUACUCGAAAUCUCACAUAUCAGAUUCCUUCGUGGAAGAGAAUUUUUUCUGAAGAAUUCGCCAUGAUAUAUCUAAUCCAUGCAUAAUAUCAUGAAAAAUAGAUACAAAUUUUUGACUGCUACUUAGUAUCCGCAAUAGGUCUGAAAAAUUAUCUAAACAUAUCAAAUUUAGAUAUUUGUACCCUGUCAAAGUAAGGAGCCAUGACAUAUAUGUUUGGAAUAGAUUCUAUUUGAGAGAGUUGAAAAAACACUAUCUCGUUGAAAGGUUCUAUCCAUCUGCCCUUUGACAACGCAUUUUUUUAGGCAAAGACUCCAUUUUUUCCUCUAUAAAUAUUUUUCAGAACAUGGAGGAGUGUGAAUCAAACCCACGUUUGAAUUGAAAUUGAGAUACUGAUGCAAGCUUUUCUCUUCUGAAUCGGAUAGAUUCAUAUCUGAAAGAGUUUGACAAUACGUUCUUUCAAAAUUGACUCUUUGUCCCUCUAUUGUGUUCCAGAAAUGUCUGCAAUCGAGUAAAUAGCUCUACGAACUAAUGGAUCGGAACGAAUUGAAAAAUGGAAAGAUUUGUACAAAUUAUACUUUUCGUCACCAUUUUGUGAAAAAUCGUUAGAUAUAAAUAUGUUAGAUACAUGUGACUCGAUUGACGAAGGUGAAUUAUAUCUCUCUCCAAAAAACGCACGUUUUUUGACCACCACACGAAGAAAAUAUGAACAUACCCAAAUUUAUAUAAGAUGUUUCCUUAAAACAUAUAUUUCCCUAUACCUAGUCAUUUUGUAUUUUUUUUGUUGAUAACUUGGGUACUUUGGUUAUUUAAACUUCAGUUUAUUUUCAGAUAUUUAUAUUAGUUCAGGUAUAAAUAUAAGAUUUGAUAAAAAAAAACCAAAAUAUUUCGAUUAUUUCGAUUAUAUAUAUGAAUAUUUA